UAACCUGUGAAUCAGGAAGGAUCAUUCUGCCUAGUUCAAGAUCUUAGUGAACUCUUAGUGAACUUAGUGAACUCUAACUUCGUUGCUGUAGCCAGCCAGAGGGGCUAAUGAUGGUUGUCACUGGAUUAAUUUGUAAAUCUAGGAUAAAAAGAUGAAGGAAAUAUUGAUGGAAGACUUAAACUUCUAAAACAAGAUGGAAUAGAAGUGAGAAUGCAUGUCUUGAAUUGUUCUUGGUUUCAAAAGAUAAACAUUUUUUAACAUCUCAGCACUAAAGAAGGGGAUCCUCCUCCAUGGGACUCUGUGAGCAUCUCUUGAAGACAGAAUGUGUGGCUUUUUGGGAAAUAGAGGCAUCCAGAAAUCAGAGAAUGAUGAAUCUAGAAGGCAUCUUGACCGUCUUCUCACACCUGGAAUGCAGACCAUGGAGCCAGAGGUGGGCCGGAAGAUCUGCAGUGUCCCUCCACAGUCGUGUGGGUUGAUAGAAACUUUGAUAAAAUCAUGAAGAAGGUGGGUGAUUUGGGGUGUUCCUGCCCUUUUGUCCUCUCUGACUUCAGCAGCUGUUCUCUUUCCCGGCACCCAGGGCCCACCUCAGUGUGUAGUUCCUGGGGCCUUUUCCUGGGCUCAUUAAACCUUCAUUCCUCGCGGGGUGCUGGGGGGUAGGGAGCAUCCUAAUUGGCUUUUAGGAGAUUAUCCGAUUCUGGUGAUUUACAGCGUUAGGAAUGGCUGGUGCCUGUGACCACACGGCAAUAUUUACAUUUUAAAAAGGAAAGCUAUUAAUCAAGAUUAUGGGAGUAUGUGGUGCCAUUUUUAGUCUGGAGGAUUUUUAUUUUCCACCGAUAUUUCAGGAAAUCAGGAGCUCCUCAGUGGGUACCCCUCUUGUGGGAUGUUGGCUGCCUAUCACAGAUUGAGAGAGAGCCUUCUCCCCUCAGCCCAUGUUGAGUUUUCUCAAGAAGAUAUUCAGAGAAGAGGGUCUGAAAGUGCCCCGCAUAGCUUUCUUCCUGACUGUUCAAUAAUUCUCACUGUCAGGACAUUUCUUUCGUAGUGAACCUAAAUCCUGUCUGUGCUGUUUGAUCCAUUCUAUUUCCUCCUGUCCUGCCCUCAGUGGAAACAGAAAACAGCUGGUAACGUUCCUUGCACACAACAAAUGAUUCUGGCUUCUCAGGAGGCUUGAUUCGAAGGUAACUCGUUAGAGCAGCCUCCCCCGCCCCCACCCCAACGCAGACCUCGGGGGCCCUCACUUGAAGGGUUGGGCCAGGGUCCCUUGCUUCAGAGAAAGCCGGAGCACCCCCCUCCUCCCCCUCCCACACCAGUUUAAUGUCAUUGCCGCGUGUGUGACAAAUCCUGUGUUUAACUUGGGCGAGCUUCAGAGGGUCCUCCUUGAACCACAUUCCAACUAAAAGCCUGCCGCAAAAGGCCGGCGUUUGAACCCGGUUAACGUUCUCCACAGCCUCGCAGAUCUCCCGGAUGUAGCCAACAAAACAGCCGCUGUGGAGGGCAUGGAGAGUGUCACCAUAGUCAAAAUGGAGUAUUUAUCCAUUUAUUAGGCAGGGCGGGGGUGUAUGGGUCAUGCUGACACACAAAGUUGCCGAGCCUAAACUGUGUCUCCUCCUUAUGUUAUGCCAUGUUGCAAGAGAGGGAGGCAGUUUUAAUUACUGAAUGGAUUCCGAACUCUCACUUUAAAGUGGCAAUAAUACAAAUGUGUGCCCAAAUGUUCUUGCCAAUACGACAAAAACAUAUUGCCAUAUCUCUAAAUCCACUAUCUUGAGACAAAAAUAAUUUCCCAGGGGUCCCUUCGGCUCAGGUCAUGAUCUCAGGGUUCUGGGAUAGAGCC